ACCCACUCCAGUGUUCUUGCCUGGAGAGUCCCAGGGAUGGGGGAGCCUGGUGGGCUGCUGUCUAUGGGGUCGCACAGAGUUGGAUACGACUGAAGUGACUUAGCAGCAGCAGCAGAGCUGCUACUUACAGCCACUUAAUUAUUAUCUGUCCAGGUGUAAGGAGCAUGGCAUGCUUUUAAUCUUGUGUUUGUGUGUGUGUGUUGGUAGAUGUACAGAAGAAAGCAGAUUGAAGUUUUCUGAAAUGCUUGGAUUCAGAUGGGCAUUAGACCCAUGUCAGAUAUGCCAAUUAGCGAUUUCAGCAGAGUGGUUAAUAUUAGUCCCAUCUUUUCCAGCUGUCUUUCUGGCCAGCAGCUUUAGCUGCUGUCACAUCCCUGGCCAGCUUUCUGUUAAGGUGGUCUGGGGGUGGCAGGGCUCCCCUUGACAGCUCAUUCCAGUCACAGAGGAAUGUAAGAGCUGUAAGCAAUGGUGGGGAGUGGGCUUAAUUUCCCUGCCCAGCAGGGAUGUACAUUAAUAUUAUCAAAUGUCUCAUCGGCAAGGCAGCUGUGUUUAGCCGAAAGGCCUCCAAACACCUGAUUCACGUCUUCCCUAGAAAAUAAAUUAUAAUGGCCCCUGUCAGCUGACACCUGUUAGAAGCCUUACAAAGCAUUUUCCCCGAAUAUGAAACAGUUCCCUGCCUCUUUUUAUAAUCUUCUGGGCAAGGCUUUAGGAAAUUCUGCUGCAUCGGCCAAACUGAUAACAUCCCUCUGCCUUAGUCUCUGCAUGGCUGUGUUUUCUUGAUCUGCCCCGCCUGGCUCAGCUUAGGUUUGGGAAGCUGCCUGCAGAUCGUCUCAUCUCCAGCCUCAGUUCUUUAAGGUCUAGUCAGGUUCGGAAGGCAGCUGGACUCAGCAUGGGCAUUCCAAGAUGCAACUGACAAGGUUCUUUUUGAGUAUUCUCAGCGCGAGCCAAGUUGUUCUCCUGUCCUGAGCCUGCCUAGGGUGUCAGGGGAGGUGAUAGCAAGCAAGACCUGCUUGGUUCACUGCAGGUAAAGGGAGCCACUUGGGGACAGCUUGUUUAUUUUAGAUCAAACAGUAAGAGAUGGGCUCUUGAAUUUUUGGUAUUUUAUACCCUGCUCCAGAAAAGCAAAGAGGGUUAUCAGUACUUUCAGUUUUUUCCCCCUGUACUUUUCCAUUGUGUAUUCUUUGCCUCUACAUCCACAUUAGUGGUACGACUGGCGACUUCUCUAAGGCUGUAAAUCUAUAUUCUUGGGGCAAGAAAAUAUACAAGAAAGGUGCCUAUGUGGAUGUUUGGAUGGCCUUGUGGACAAAGCAAACCUCAUGCAAGCAGGAGGAAAUGUUCCCUUUGGUCACUGGUGUGCAUGUCUUCCCUUUUCCUUCACUAAGGUAAACUUUGAUGCUCCCUGCUUUUGAAUUCUGAAUAUAAUUGGGUCAGAGGGUGAUGAUGUAAGUGAUAUAUAGUGUAUAGAUAGAUCUGGUAUGAAGAUACAUAUGUAUUUAUUCAGGCACUAGGGAUGAGCUACUCAGAAAACCAUGUUGUGGAACGUUCUUUCUUAUAAUUAUGGUAAUAAUUCAAAUGCUUUUAAAGAUCCACUGUUGCACCUAUAGUCUUCUCUCUGGGUUUAGCCAAGCCCAGCACAUAACCUCACAGACACCUUAUGGGGGAGAGACGCCUGCAUACUGGCAAGCGAGCGGACAUUCCACACCCUUGAGGUGGGAAGUGGGCUUGGAAAUAGCAUCUUCUCAAAUGCAAUCAAUUUUCAUGAUUGACAACACUCCUUCAGAAGGGAGCUCCCAGAGACCUGAGAAAUCAUAUAAAGUGUCAAACAGAACUUGUGAGUACUGAAUGAAUGAAAUGAAAAUGUCCCAUGAAUGCUCUGGAAAUCAGAACCUCAGAGUGACUGGCUUGAAGCCAGUG